rnacentral:rRNA from 1 species
UACGUAGGGUCCGAGCGUUGUCCGGAAUUACUGGGCGUAAAGAGCUCGUAGGUGGUUUGUCGCGUUGUUCGUGAAAACUCACAGCUUAACUGUGGGCGCGCGGGCGAUACGGGCAGACUUGAGUACUGCAGGGGAGACUGGAAUUCCUGGUGUAGCGGUGGAAUGCGCAGAUAUCAGGAGGAACACCGGUGGCGAAGGCGGGUCUCUGGGCAGUAACUGACGCUGAGGAGCGAAAGCAUGGGUAGCGAACAGG